rnacentral:lncRNA from 1 species
CCCAGCAAUGGUACCGAGAGUGUGGGUAUCAGUAUGUGGAUGCAGGUGCCAGCUCCUGGAGUUCUGCUCAUCCCUCUGCUGGACACUCUGUCUCCAUCCAGUUAAGUGUCAUGAAUCAAACAUGGCAGGUCAACCUUACCAGAUCAUGGCACACACAGUCAAGGCCAAACCCAGAGGGAAACUAGUACCCAGGGGGAAAUGGCAAAGCCAGCCACGCAGAGGUAAGACGCCUGUUUUUAUCAGCACUUGCUGUCCCCUUGUCUGGCUGUCCCUGUGGACUGGGCCCCAUUGCCCUUCUGCCCCCAUACACAGGAUUUUUAGGUCACUUGAAAUACAAAACCCUAACCCAGGAAACAGCAAGAGGGAGUCUUGGAUAUCAAAAGAAGUGUGCUCAUAAAAAUGUGCAGAGGACCCAGACGGAACACAGCUGCCAUCCCAGGAUUGAGCAGCUGAACCCAGCAGCAGCAUGGCUCCCCCAGGAGGGCUGGGUCUCACAGGUGGCUUCUCUCCUGUCACCAGCACUAGGAAGGGAUUCUGUUAAGACUGCUUCCUGUCCAGGACACCACUUCCUGUGCAUUUCCCAGGUCAAAGUGUGCCUGUAGAUCACCUUACCCCAGACCUUCAGAGAGCCUUCGGUGCUGUGUAAAAGGCUUAUAGAGUGGUCUUCAAGAACAGGAUG